rnacentral:misc_RNA from 1 species
AAAACUUUUGUCCAAAAAUACAACAAAACUAUUGUGUGUACCUGUGAGCUGCACGAAGCCAGGACUAACUAUACGUCUUUGUUCUUGGAUGGAAUAAUACUACAUGAACUUGCCUAGGUUACAGCUUGCUACUAGAGUAUACUUGAUGGGGGAGGAUAUACUUUACAGUUUUGGGUCAGGGAUGAGGCUACUGUUGCAGUUGUUGUGUCCUGGGUGUAAUGCUCAAAAAAUAUUGAAUCCCAA